ACCUUUCCCCACCCUAGCCCCAGAGCUGCCAGUCCAGCCCAGAGAGGAAAUCCAACCCUGUGUCCCCACGGAGACCCAGCACAAGUCCUGGGAGGGUGACGGCUGAGCAGGGGGGACACAACACAUGCCUCACAUCCUCCUGCUUCGUCCUCGAAGAAUCCGAUGCCCCAUAACCUUGGAAGUCCAAUACAUAUAGAGUGAGCACCCGCCAUGUCCUAGGCACCCCACCAGCCCUGAUCCACCCAAUCUGCACGAUUGCACACUGACCACAUUCUAACUCACUUUGCUCGCCCUCCUCUAAUUCCUUUUGCGAGCCCCUAUUGGGCACAAAUCCUUGGCAGACUUGGGGAAAGUCUGGGACAAGCAGGAUUCUAAUGAGGUUCUGAGCUCCGCACAUGUGCAGGUUAGGGAACAGCAGGAAAUAGAGGUCCACUGGUUGAGGGGGCAGAGUAGGUAGUUAGAUCUGGGAGGUUUCCUGGAAGAAGCGGCUGGGAAAGAUGAAUGACUGCUCCCCAGGGAAGAGGCCCACCCUCCUGCCCUGGAAGCCCCCAGGCUGGACUUCAGAGUCCAACUCCUCCUCCAGUCCUCUAUGCUUUCUAUUUGCAUUGAUAAAGCGCCCACUAGGUGCUCUCUAGCUGAAGCCCUAGGGGUCCAAAUGGACAUGCAAAGGAGAGCAUCUACCUACUGAUAGCUCCCAGCCUUGUCUGUCUGGCCCUCGCCUGAUGCCUCCAGGGAAGGGCACCCUGAGCCUAGAUCACGCCUGGAUCACCUGCUCAUUUCAUCCAGAGACCCACAGAAGACCAGCCAUGCUCUCAAGAUCCCACAGCAACUCAGUGACUGUGUUUUGCCUGGAGGCCCCCAACACACAGGGUCACAAGCUUCUACCUGACGAGGCUUGCCCUUAGACCAGUUAACCCCAGGCAAGGAUUGCGCUAACCUCACCGGGUUCCACAUAACCACUUUUUCCGGAAACUCACUCAUCUUGGGCGCGUGGGGGGGGGGGUGGUGUACUAGUGGCGUGGUGAUUAUAUUU